rnacentral:rRNA from 1 species
UACAGAGGGUGCAAGCGUUGUUCGGAAUUACUGGGCGUAAAGCGCGCGCAGGCGGGUUUGUAAGUCGGAAGUGAAAUCUCACUGCUCAACGGUGGGCUGCUUCUGAUACGUGCAAAUCUUGAGACCGGUAGAGGUUGGUAGAAUUGCAGGUGUAGCGGUGGAAUGCGUAGAGAUCUGCAAGAAUACCCGUGGCGAAGGCGGCCAACCUGGGCCGGUUCUGACGCUGAGGCGCGAAAGCGUGGGAGCAACAGG